GCUCAGGACGAACGCUGGCGGCGUGCCUAAUACAUGCAAGUAGAACGCUGAAGAGAGGAGCUUGCUCUUCUUGGAUGAGUUGCGAACGGGUGAGUAACGCGUAGGUAACCUGCCUUGUAGCGGGGGAUAACUAUUGGAAACGAUAGCUAAUACCGCAUAACAAUGGAUGACACAUGUCAUUUAUUUGAAAGGGGCAAUUGUUCCACUACAAGAUGGACCUGCGUUGUAUUAGCUAGUAGGUGAGGUAAUGGCUCACCUAGGCGACGAUACAUAGCCGACCUGAGAGGGUGAUCGGCCACACUGGGACUGAGACACGGCCCAGACUCCUACGGGAGGCAGCAGUAGGGAAUCUUCGGCAAUGGGGGCAACCCUGACCGAGCAACGCCGCGUGAGUGAAGAAGGUUUUCGGAUCGUAAAGCUCUGUUGUAAGUCAAGAACGGGUGUGAGAGUGGAAAGUUCACACUGUGACGGUAGCUUACCAGAAAGGGACGGCUAACUACGUGCCAGCAGCCGCGGUAAUACGUAGGUCCCGAGCGUUGUCCGGAUUUAUUGGGCGUAAAGCGAGCGCAGGCGGUUUGAUAAGUCUGAAGUUAAAGGCUGUGGCUCAACCAUAGUUCGCUUUGGAAACUGUCAAACUUGAGUGCAGAAGGGGAGAGUGGAAUUCCAUGUGUAGCGGUGAAAUGCGUAGAUAUAUGGAGGAACACCGGUGGCGAAAGCGGCUCUCUGGUCUGUAACUGACGCUGAGGCUCGAAAGCGUGGGGAGCGAACAGGAUUAGAUACCCUGGUAGUCCACGCCGUAAACGAUGAGUGCUAGGUGUUGGAUCCUUUCCGGGAUUCAGUGCCGCAGCUAACGCAUUAAGCACUCCGCCUGGGGAGUACGACCGCAAGGUUGAAACUCAAAGGAAUUGACGGGGGCCCGCACAAGCGGUGGAGCAUGUGGUUUAAUUCGAAGCAACGCGAAGAACCUUACCAGGUCUUGACAUCCCGAUGCUAUUUCUAGAGAUAGAAAGUUACUUCGGUACAUCGGUGACAGGUGGUGCAUGGUUGUCGUCAGCUCGUGUCGUGAGAUGUUGGGUUAAGUCCCGCAACGAGCGCAACCCCUAUUGUUAGUUGCCAUCAUUCAGUUGGGCACUCUAGCGAGACUGCCGGUAAUAAACCGGAGGAAGGUGGGGAUGACGUCAAAUCAUCAUGCCCCUUAUGACCUGGGCUACACACGUGCUACAAUGGUUGGUACAACGAGUUGCGAGUCGGUGACGGCGAGCUAAUCUCUUAAAGCCAAUCUCAGUUCGGAUUGUAGGCUGCAACUCGCCUACAUGAAGUCGGAAUCGCUAGUAAUCGCGGAUCAGCACGCCGCGGUGAAUACGUUCCCGGGCCUUGUACACACCGCCCGUCACACCACGAGAGUUUGUAACACCCGAAGUCGGUGAGGUAACCUUUUGGAGCCAGCCGCCUAAGGUGGGACAGAUGAUUGGGGUGAAGUCGU
rnacentral:rRNA from 1 species